CAAAUCUCUGUUGGUGUGUGGUGGUAUGGGGGCUAGUUCUAUUAGGCAAUUUGCUUGGUAGGCUGGCUUAACCAUCCACUACACCCGACAACAUUAGCACGAGGCUGCAAGGCCUUGAUGUUUACGCUUGUUUGUUUGACAGAUUUACUGAGACUAAAAUAUAGA
rnacentral:misc_RNA from 1 species